AUCCCCAGAUACAGUGGACAAUAUGCUAUUAUAAUUGUAUGGCAUUGUCCUUGCUGUUUGGAGAUAA
rnacentral:pre_miRNA from 1 species